AUUGAACGCUGGCGGCAUGCCUUACACAUGCAAGUCGAACGGUAACAGGUUAAGCUGACGAGUGGCGAACGGGUGAGUAAUACAUCGGAACGUGCCCAGUAGUGGGGGAUAGCCCGGCGAAAGCCGGAUUAAUACCGCAUACGACCUACGGGUGAAAGGGGGGGAUCGCAAGACCUCCCGCAAUUGGAGCGGCCGAUGUCAGAUUAGGUAGUUGGUGGGGUAAAAGCCUACCAAGCCGACGAUCUGUAGCUGGUCUGAGAGGACGACCAGCCACACUGGGACUGAGACACGGCCCAGACUCCUACGGGAGGCAGCAGUGGGGAAUUUUGGACAAUGGGCGCAAGCCUGAUCCAGCCAUGCCGCGUGCGGGAAGAAGGCCUUCGGGUUGUAAACCGCUUUUGUCAGGGAAGAAACGCUCUGGGUUAAUACCCUGGGGUAAUGACGGUACCUGAAGAAUAAGCACCGGCUAACUACGUGCCAGCCGCCGCCGUAA
rnacentral:rRNA from 1 species